rnacentral:rRNA from 1 species
AAGUCCCGCAACGAGCGCAACCCACGCCCUUAGUUGCCAUCAUUUAGUUGGGCACUAUAGGGGGACUGCCGGUGAUAAGCCGAGAGGAAGGUGUGGAUGACGUCAAGUCCUCAUGGCCCUUACGGGCUGGGCUACACACGUGCUACAAUGGCGGUGACAAUGGGACGCGGAGGGGUGACCCCGAGCAAAUCUCAAAAAGCCGUCUCAGUUCGGAUUGUACUCUGAAACUCGAGUGCAUGAAGGUGGAAUCGCUAGUAAUCGUAGAUCAGAACGCUACGGUGAAUACGUUCCCGGGCCUUGUACACACCGCCCGUCACACCAUGGAG